AAAACAUUUUGUUGAGUCGUCCCACUCGCCUCAACCGCGUCCACGACAAGUGGGGGCGACUGUGACGUCGUGGUGCAACGGCUCGCCGCGAAUCGCCGGGUCCAGAGGUCAAGACUUGCUUAUGCGCACCGGCCGCGCGCACGCGUUCUUUAGUUCUUAUAUGUACUUAAACUUUAAUUCUUAUUUGCUUAAUCGUAUUACCUAUAUUGUUAUUCUUAAAAUCAUUAUACGUAUUCACAUGUUAUACAGUCCACGCUUAUUAUUUAUUCCACCUGCUGAGCUAUCGUCGCAACAUAUGGUCCUUCUCCCAAGAAAAAUUGAACUGGACAAAGAAGACAAAGGACUUUGGUGAACGUCGACCACGUCAUCGAGUGACUCAGUGAAUAUUAUCAAGUUUCUUCGCUGUGAACAUUGUUACGUCGUGAUAUAACGGCACGGCUUGAGACUUUUCGGCCGUCUUAGCUGACGUCACCCAACUGACACAAGAAGAAACGGAAUUUGGGCUACUAAUUAUUCGUCAUCAUAACGGACAGCAAAUACACGUGUUCAGAUUGUCGUCGUGCAUUGAGAUAUCUGACAAGAAUACUCCUCGGCGCAGUCAUCACCAGUGGUUUGCACCGGAAAACAGUCCAGAACGCUAACGUGAACAACUUGCAGCGGUUCCGUCGCAUCGAAUGUUUAAAGCAACAUUUCUGGUCACGCUUCUCACAUGAGUACAUUUUGUGGCUCCAACAACGAACCAAAUGGCUCCGAUCGUCAGGGGAACUUACAGAAGGAACCCUUGUCGUCAUUAAGGAUAAAAGCUCACCUCCUCUGUUAUGGCUUUUAGGACGGAUCGUUAAGGUGCUUCCUGGUAGAGACGGCAUUGCACGAGUCGCCGACAUCCGCACACGUAAGGGUGUCAUUCGGCGAGCGUUCAACACAAUUUGCCCGUUACCCGUCGCCACUGCUGUUGAAGACACUUCAACGGGGGGAGUAUGUUGAGUCGUCCCACUCGCCUCAACCGCGUCCACGACAAGUGGGGGCGACUGUGACGUCGUGGUGCAACGGCUCGCCGCGAAUCGCCGGGUCCAGAGGUCAAGACUUGCUUAUGCGCACCGGCCGCGCGCACGCGUUCUUUAGUUCUUAUAUGUACUUAAACUUUAAUUCUUAUUUGCUUAAUCGUAUUACCUAUAUUGUUAUUCUUAAAAUCAUUAUACGUAUUCACAUGUUAUACA
rnacentral:misc_RNA from 1 species